rnacentral:rRNA from 1 species
GACGAACGCUGGCGGCGUGCCUAAUACAUGCAAGUCGAACGAGAAAUUCUUACACCGGAUGCUUGCAUCCACCGUAAGAUUUCGAGUGGCGGACGGGUGAGUAACACGUGGGUAACCUGCCCAAAAGAAGGGGAUAACAUUUGGAAACAAGUGCUAAUACCGUAUAACCAUGAUGACCGCAUGGUCAUGAUGUAAAAGGUGGUUUUGCUAUCGCUUUUGGAUGGACCCGCGGCGUAUUAACUAGUUGGUAAGGUAACGGCUUACCAAGGUGAUGAUACGUAGCCGAACUGAGAGGUUGAUCGGCCACAAUGGGACUGAGACACGGCCCAUACUCCUACGGGAGGCAGCAGUAGGGAAUCUUCCACAAUGGGCGCAAGCCUGAUGGAGCAACGCCGCGUGAAUGAUGAAGGCUUUCGGGUCGUAAAACUCUGUUGUUAGGGAAGAACAAGUGCUAGUUGAAUAAGCUGGCACCUUGACGGUACCUAACCAGAAAGCCACGGCUAACUACGUGCCAGCCGCCGCCGUAACAC